rnacentral:rRNA from 1 species
GACGAACGCUGGCGGCGUGCUUAACACAUGCAAGUCGAACGGAAAGGCCCUGCUUUUGUGGGGUGCUCGAGUGGCGAACGGGGGAGUAACACGUGAGUAACCUGCCCUUGACUUUGGGAUAACUUCAGGAAACUGGGGCUAAUACCGGAUAGAAGCUCCUGCUGCAUGGUGGUGAUUGGAAAGUUUCGGCGGUUGGGGAUGGACUCGCGGGUUAUCAGCUUGUUGGUGGGGUAGUGGCGUACCAAGGCUUUGACGGGUAGCCGGCCUGAGAGGGUGACCGGCCACAUUGGGACUGAGAUACGGACCAGACUCCUACGGGAGGCAGCAGUCGGGAGUAUUGCACAGUGGGGGGACGCCUGAUGCAGAGACCCCGCGUGCGGGAUGACGGCUUUCGGGUUGUAAACCGCUUUCGCCUGUGACGAAGCGUGCGUGACGGUAAUGGGUAAAGAAGCACCGGCUAACUACGUG